rnacentral:rRNA from 1 species
GACGAACGCUGGCGGCGUGCUUAACACAUGCAAGUCGAACGAAGAGCGAUGGAAGCUUGCUUCUAUCAAUCUUAGUGGCGAACGGGUGAGUAACGCGUAAUCAACCUGCCCUUCAGAGGGGGACAACAGUUGGAAACGACUGCUAAUACCGCAUACGAUCUAACCUCGGCAUCGAGGAUGGAUGAAAGGUGGCCUCUAUUUAUAAGCUAUCACUGAAGGAGGGGAUUGCGUCUGAUUAGCUAGUUGGAGGGGUAACGGCCCACCAAGGCGAUGAUCAGUAGCCGGUCUGAGAGGAUGAACGGCCACAUUGGGACUGAGACACGGCCCAGACUCCUACGGGAGGCAGCAGUGGGGAAUCUUCCGCAAUGGACGAAAGUCUGACGGAGCAACGCCGCGUGAGUGAUGACGGCCUUCGGGUUGUAAAGCUCUGUUAAUCGGGACGAAAGGCCUUCUUGCGAACAGUUAGAAG